rnacentral:rRNA from 1 species
UACGUAGGGUGCGAGCGUUGUCCGGAAUUAUUGGGCGUAAAGAGCUCGUAGGCGGUGUGUCGCGUCGGCCGUGAAAACCUGCAGCUUAACUGUGGGCUUGCGGUCGAUACGGGCAUCACUGGAGUUCGGCAGGGGAGACUGGAAUUCCUGGUGUAGCGGUGAAAUGCGCAGAUAUCAGGAGGAACACCAGUGGCGAAGGCGGCUCACUGGUCCGGUACUGGACGCUGGAGGUGCGAAAGGCGUGGGGAG